AGUGAACGCUGGCGGUAGGCCUAACACAUGCAAGUCGAACGGCAGCACAGUAAGAGCUUGCUCUUACGGGUGGCGAGUGGCGGACGGGUGAGGAAUACAUCGGAAUCUACUUUUUCGUGGGGGAUAACGUAGGGAAACUUACGCUAAUACCGCAUACGACAUACGGGUGAAAGCAGGGGAUCUUCGGACCUUGCGCGAUUGAAUGAGCCGAUGUCGGAUUAGCUAGUUGGCGGGGUAAAGGCCCACCAAGGCGACGAUCCGUAGCUGGUCUGAGAGGAUGAUCAGCCACACUGGAACUGAGACACGGUCCAGACUCCUACGGGAGGCAGCAGUGGGGAAUAUUGGACAAAGGGCGCAAGCCUGAUCCAGCCAUACCGCGUGGGUGAAGAAGGCCUUCGGGUUGUAAAGCCCUUUUGUUGGGAAAGAAAAGCAGCAGGUUAAUACCCCGCUGUUCUGACGGUACCCAAAGAAUAAGCACCGGCUAACUUCGUG
rnacentral:rRNA from 1 species